UUUUCUAAGAAGAGGAGAAGGAAUUUCCCCAUUUCAUCUUCACCCUGUGUCCCUGUAGUUCAAAGAGAGAUACCUCCCAGGAAGAGAACAAGAAAAAUAAAUAUUUUAAAAUAACUUUCGCUUUAAAAAGUUUUCUCGUAUGUAUUGCUGUAUUUCAUCAUCACAAGAGUUCUCUUAGUUCGGCAGAGCAGAAAAUGUACUGAUGAGGAUUUGAUAAAACUCAUGCCUUGUUGGACAUUUAUUGGGUUCUGUUCCAGUCACUUUCCUCUCAUCUUAUUCUUCCUCCCAGCAGUCCUAUAAGGUAGGUGCCAUUUCCCCAUCGUAUGCGUGGAGAAACCAAGGAUUAAAGAGGUUAACAGUUGUGCCUUAGGUCACACAGCUGCUAAAUAACAGAGCCAGAAUUUGGAUCUCGAUCUGACUCCGAAGGCCAUGGCCCUCUUGCAGGGCUUCUCCUUGAGCUGUGGCCGGGAUGCUUGCCUCCUCCGGAUUCCCAAUCCUGUAUUUUCUCUACAUCGCGUCAACUCCCUGCGGUGUGAAGAUAAUGCUCUUAGAAACAUCUUUAAUGGGUGUUUUGACACCUUGUUAAACAGAAUUUUGUUCAGACUAAACAUUCCUGGCAAGGCAGUGGUUCACCCAAGCGCUUCGUUAAUUUCAAAGUGCGAUAGACGCGAAGCUCUUACAGAGGAGGCAGGGCAGCUCAGUGCAAAGAGAACUCGGCACCAUCAGAGGUUCUGCUUCAGAAUCCCCACUUGUGCUAACUCACUUUGUAAAGAUAGGGGGUGCAUUUCACAGCGACCAUUGACUGGCCUGCCUACCCACCUAGCUACUUCACAGGGUUGUGAAUGUAAAUGGUGCAAUGCACAGCCUUUUCUACACAAGGGUACAUAGGAAAGAGAUUCAUUUUUCCUUCCAUCACUGCCUUCGUCCUUGCUCUUUUUGAACGAACUUUCCACAGCCCUUGAUAACAUCGAGCGUGUUCCAUAAGGAGCCAGUCAUCCUUGGUUAAGUCUCAUCGUUUUAUACUGAAGUAUGAAAAAACUCCAGUCCAGUCUUAAAACCUCCAUCUUACAGCCAAUUCAAGCCUUUUCUCUUCCCUGCCCUUUGGCUCUCUGCCUCUUCUUUUCUUUCUGCCCGCCCCUCUGAAAGAGGGGUUAGAUCAGGAGGAUUCAAGCAAAGAGCCAGUCUUUCACUACUUGGUGCUCCCCUUGGGGCAGCAUCCCAGGGCUGCUUUCUCUGGCAGGGGCAGCUGCCAGAGGUGGGUUCCUCAGAAUGGUCACUUCCUUCACAGGACCUGUUGUGACUAUGCUCUCCAGCUGUCCUCCUCAGACACCCUCUUCAGCUCCAGGUCACUGAGAAACUCCCCACUCUCAAUUUUUACAGUUGGAGCCCUCCUGAGUGGGGCAUCAGCAGAUGGCUCAAGGGCAGAGGAAGGCACAGAAGGUCCACUGUUUAAGCAGACACCUAUCAGGGAAUGAGAUGCCCAUUUCACCUUCUAGCAAACAUCAGUCGCUGCAACCAAAUUCAAAAGGCCUUGGAGUUCCUGCUAUAUAAUUGUCAUAGGAAAUAGUGUGGUGCAAAGAAAAGCCCUCCAGGCUUGGAGUCCACACAUCCAGCAACAGGAGACAAGAACUGUCAUUGCCACCGCGUCAUCUUGGGCAAGCCACUUUAUCUCUGUGCUUUCUAGUCUAUAAUGGGAAGCCUUGACCUGGCUGCUCUUCCUGUUCAAUAAUCUGAAAUUCCAAGUAGUUGGACAUGUGGGUAUGAGAUGUCCCCCAUUUAAUAUAGUGUCUGAAAAUCAUCUGUAGAGACUACUCAUGCUACUCAAAUUUUCCAAAAUCACUUCUAAAAUUAUUUUGUUUCCU
rnacentral:lncRNA from 1 species